CAAUGAACACAAGUCCAGCUCAGCAGGAUCAGGCACAAACGCAAACCCCGAUGACCACCAGUCGUAAAUCAUCCGGCAGGGCAGUUUACCUGGUUGACGGCGCCCGCACGCCUUUCAUUCGGGCGCGGGGCAAACCCGGCCCCUUCUCGCCGGUGGACCUGGCGGUGCAGUGCGGGCGCCCGCUGCUACUGCGCCAGAAUAUGCCCGCCACCGCGUUUGAUCAGGUUAUUCUGGGCUGCGUGAAUGUUGUCUCCGACGAGAUGAACCCAGCACGCGUGGCUGCCCUGCGCCUGGGCAUGGGCGAGGCCAUGCCCGCCUUUACCGU
rnacentral:misc_RNA from 1 species